rnacentral:rRNA from 1 species
CCUACGGGCGGCAGCAGUGAGGAAUAUUGGUCAAUGGGCGGGAGCCUGAACCAGCCAAGUCGCGUGAAGGAGGACUGCCCUGCGGAUUGUAAACUUCUUUUGUAAGGGAAUAAAGUGAGGCACGUGUGCCUUUUUGUAUGUACUUUAUGAAUAAGGAUCGGCUAACUCCGUGCCAGCAGCCGCGGUAAUACGGAGGAUCCGAGCGUUAUCCGGAUUUAUUGGGUUUAAAGGGAGCGUAGAUGGGUUGUUAAGUCAGUUGUGAAAGUUUGGGGCUCAACCGUGAAAUGGCCAUUGAUACUGGCAGCCUUGAGUACAGUUGAGGUAGGCGGAAUGCGCGGUGUAGCGGUGAAAUGCAUAGAUAUCACGAAGAACUCCGAUUGCGAAGGCAGCUUACUAAACUGCCACUGACAUUGAUGCACGAAAGUGUGGGUAUCAAACAGGAUUAGAUACCCUGGUAGUC